rnacentral:rRNA from 2 species
CACCGCGUGAGUGAGGAAGGGUUUCGGCUCGUAAAACUCUGUUGUUGGAGAAGAACGUGCGUAAGAGUAACUGUUUACGCAGUGACGGUAUCCAACCAGAAAGUCACGGCUAACUACGUGCCAGCAGCCGCGGUAAUACGUAGGUGGCAAGCGUUAUCCGGAUUUAUUGGGCGUAAAGCGAGCGCAGGCGGUUGCUUAGGUCUGAUGUGAAAGCCUUCGGCUUAACCGAAGAAGUGCAUCGGAAACCGGGCGACUUGAGUGCUGAAGAGGACAGUGGAACUCCAUGUGUAGCGGUGGAAUGCGUAGAUAUAUGGAAGAACACCAGUGGCGAAGGCGGCUGUCUGGUCUGCAACUGACGCUGAGGCUCGAAAGCAUGGGUAGCGAACAGGAUUAGAUACCCUGGUAGUCCAUGCCGUAAACGAUGAGUGCUAGGUGUUGGAGGGUUUCCGCCCUUCAGUGCCGAAGCUAACGCAUUAAGCACUCCGCCUGGGGAGUACGACCGCAAGGUUGAAACUCAAAGGAAUUGACGGGGGCCCGCACAAGCGGUGGAGCAUGUGGUUUAAUUCGAAGCUACGCGAAGAACCUUACCAGGUCUUGACAUCUUGCGCCAACCUCAGAGAUGAGGCGUUCCCUUCGGGGACGCAAAGACAGGUGGUGCAUGGUCGUCGUCAGCUCGUGUCGUGAGAUGUUGGGUUAAGUCCGCAAGA